UACGGAGGGGGCUAGCGUUGUUCGGAAUUACUGGGCGUAAAGCGUGCGCAGGCGGUUUUCCAAGUCAGUGGUGAAAGCCCGGAGCUCAACUCCGGAAUUGCCAUUGAAACUGUGAAACUUGAGGACGAGAGAGGUGAGUGGAAUUCCCAGUGUAGAGGUGAAAUUCGUAGAUAUUGGGAAGAACACCGGUGGCGAAGGCGGCUCACUGGCUCGUUUCUGACGCUCAGGCACGACAGCGUGGGGAUCAAACAGG
rnacentral:rRNA from 1 species